AUUGAACGCUGGCGGCAUGCUUUACACAUGCAAGUCGAACGGUAACAGGCCGCAAGGUGCUGACGAGUGGCGAACGGGUGAGUAAUGCAUCGGAACGUGCCCAGUCGUGGGGGAUAACGCAGCGAAAGCUGCGCUAAUACCGCAUACGAACUCAGGAUGAAAGCGGGGGACCGAAAGGCCUCGCGCGAUUGGAACGGCCGAUGUCAGAUUAGGUAGUUGGUGGGGGAAAGGCCCACAAAGCUAACGAUCUGUAGCUGGUCUGAGAGGACGACCAGCCAGACUGUGACGCAGACACGGCCCAGACUCCGACGGGAGGCAGCAGUAGGGAAUUUUGGACAAUGGGCGCAAGACUGAUCCAGCAAGGCCGCGUGCAGAAAGAAGGCCUUCGGGUUGUAAACCGCUUUUGUACAGAACGAAAAGGCUCUGGUUAAUACCUGGGGCUCAUGACGGUACUGUAAGAAUAAGCACCGGCUAACUACGUGCCAGCCGCCGCAGUAAGAC
rnacentral:rRNA from 1 species